rnacentral:misc_RNA from 1 species
UCUCCGUUGGUGAACCGGCGGAGGGAUCAUUACUGGAAUCGCAAGAUCCCACAACCCUGUGAACCUACCGAAACGUUGCCUCGGCGGGUGCCCGGCCCCCGCGCCGGGCGCUGCGCCCGCCGGCAGCCUACUAUACUCUGUCUCUUUGCGUUGGCCUCUCGAGUACAAUCAAACAAGUUAAAACUUUCAACAACGGAUCUCUUGGUUCUG